rnacentral:lncRNA from 1 species
UCAAUUUUAAACAUUCCGUACUUGGCCAAAUAUCUUUUGCUCUCUCUAUUGCUGCCCAUAAAAACACUUGUGUUACAGUUAAAAUGAACCAGUGUCUGAACAUAUCAUUAUCAUUUACAUCCAUUUAGAGAAGGGAAAAAGAAUUGUGAUUGCUAUUGUUUACGACUUGCCAAAACCGUACACCCACUAACAUAAUGUCAAGAGAGUAGAGGAGACGAAAUAAAAUUGG